GACGAACGCUGGCGGCGUGCUUAACACAUGCAAGUCGAGCGGAAAGGCCCUUUGGGGUACUCGAGCGGCGAACGGGUGAGUAACACGUGAGUAAUCUGCCCUGCACUUUGAGAUAACUGCCGGAAACGGUGGCUAAUACCGGAUAUGACUACAUGGCGCAUGUUGUGUGGUGGAAAGUUUUUUCGGUGUGGGAUGUGCUCGCGGCCUAUCAGCUUGAUGGUGGGUAAUGGCCUACCAUGGCUUUGACGGGUAGCCGGCCUGAGAGGGUGACCGGCCACACUGGGACUGAGACACGGCCCAGACUCCUACGGGAGCAGCAGUGGGAAUAUUGGACAAUGGGCGGAAGCCUGAUCCAGCAACGCCGCGUGAGGGAUGACGGCCUUCGGUUGUAACCUACUUUCUACCACUGACGAAGCGCAAGUGACGGUAGUAGGGAGAAGGAAGCACCGGCCAACUACGUG
rnacentral:rRNA from 1 species